UUUUUCUCCUUGCAGAGUCGUUGAAAUGCAUUGUCUGUUGGAGGACUCCAGUUGUGGUGGUGACGCUGACUCAAAUGAAACACCUGCAACCAUUACGGAUAACUGUUGGAAAGCAGGUUUGAAGUCAAAAGCCCCACAAAGUCAGAAUGUAGUGAAAAUUCUUCAGAGGACAGCAAUAAACAUCACUUUUGCACAAGCCUUGUGAUUCUGUGUUGGCUAAACCUGCAAGGACCCCAAGAAGCCAGGGCGAAGAGGACCAAUGGUACUCUGUCUGGAUCCUUGCGGCAGUGACUAUUUUCUACUUAAUCUGUCUCACUCUCUUUUCCCCCCGUCUCUCCUCUUUUCUA